GAAUUUUGGGCAAUGGGCGAAACCCUGAUCCAGCCAUGCCGCGUGAGUGAAGAAGGCCCUAGGGUCGUAAAGCUCUUUCGCCAGGGAAGAUAAUGACGGUACCUGGUAAAGAAACCCCGGCUAACUCCGUGCCAGCAGCCGCGGUAAUACGGGGGGAGCAAGCGUUGUUCGGAUUUACUGGGCGUAAAGGGCGCGUAGGCGGCCACCGCAAGUCGACUGUGAAAUCUCCGGGCUUAACCCGGAAAGGUCAGCCGAUACUGCGGGGCUAGAGUGCAGAAGGGGCAACUGGAAUUCUCGGUGUAGCGGUGAAAUGCGUAGAUAUCGAGAGGAACACCUGCGGCGAAGGCGGGUUGCUGGGCUGACACUGACGCUGAGGCGCGAAAGCUAGGGGAGCGAACGGG
rnacentral:rRNA from 1 species